UGAAAGAAGAGUUUCUAUACAUCCUUCGUU
rnacentral:piRNA from 1 species